AUUCUAUAUUUAUAUUCUAUAUACAUACAGUAUAUACUGGCAUUUUAAUUCCUGAUUAAGUUUUGAACAAUAUGUCACUGCGUUAAAAAAAUGUCUACCUGAAUGUAAUUCCUGUUAAUUUAGAAGGUUUCUUACCAAGUUGCCGGUGUACGAUACAUUAUUAUAAUAAUAGAUAACAGUUCGUUAAAUAUAUUAAUUUGUUAUACUUUGUUUUACAGAGUUAAGAAAGCACUGUUUAAGUCAAGUCUGAUGUUACCUUACACAUAAAAGAAUAAUCCCAGUCAUUUCCACACAGUGAGGCAUACAGCUUAUUAAUUAAACACUGGUAUCGGAUCGGCACUCGGCAUCGGCCGAUACACAAAGCCCAGGUAUCGCUAUCGGCACUGAAAAAGUCAGAUUGGUGCAUCCCUAAUAAAAACACAAAUUCAU